ensembl:lncRNA
GCGACCCGUACGCUAAACAAACUUUACGCGGGCUUCGAUUACUCGGAGUAUGGAGCCCAAGCCGGUCAGACUUCGCCCUCCCCGGUCCUUACAGAUCCAGUUACAGCACCCUGCAGAACAAGAGAAAGCAGAAGGCGCCACCACCCAGCUCGCUGCAGGACGACCCAAGCGGAACUCUGCCCUCAUAGAGAAGUUACAGGCUAACUUAGCCCUCUCUCCCUCUGCCCUUCUGACAUCGCCCUUGAGCCCCGGCUUCAAGUUCUCCCCCAAGCUUUCACUCCCCCUCCCCUGCCGCCCCGUUUCCUGUCACACCCCGUUUUCGGGUAACGCCGGUGACACCCACCAGCCCGCUGGCUGUCCUCACACCUCAGAGCGAGGAGGAAGCCCCCGCUUCCUUCGAAACCCCCCCCAGCGCCCAGGAAGGAGCCGUGCUCGUCAGCAUCAUUAAG